rnacentral:sRNA from 1 species
AUUUUAAUUGGUAAAUAUUCUAGGCAAAGCUUAGAGGUCGCGUUACAUGUUGUACUUUUGGGUCUUCGGAAAUUACGGCUUUGGUUCAGAAUGUUCUGGUAUUCAAAAAAAAAAAAACAAGAAGAAGAUUAAGCAUGUAACUAAUUAAGAAGAUGUACAACAUCCAAACAGAGAAAUUCAACACUUGAUCAAACAUCCAAAGAUUUCCAAUAGC